rnacentral:rRNA from 1 species
AGCAGCCGCGGUAAUUCCAGCUCCAAUAGCGUAUAUUAAAGUUGUUGCAGUUAAAAAGCUCGUAGUUGAAUUUCGGGGUCAGUAGGUCGGUCGUGCCACUGGUAUGAACUGGUUUUACUGAUUCCUCCCUCUUGAAGAACUGUAAUGCCAUUAAUUUGGUGUUGCAGGGAAUCAGGACUGUUACUUUGAAAAAAUUAGAGUGUUUAAAGCAGGCUUUAGCUUGAAUACAUUAGCAUGGAAUAAUGAAAUAGGACGUUUGAUCCUAUUUUGUUGGUUUCUAGGAUUGACGUAAUGAUUAAUAGGGAUAGUUGGGGGCAUUAGUAUUCAAUUGUCAGAGGUGAAAUUCUUGGAUUUAUUGAAGACUAACUACUGCGAAAGCAUUUUGCCAAGGAUGUUUUCAUUAAUCAAGAACGAAAGUUAGGGGAUCGAAGACGAUCAGAUACCGUCGUAGUCUUAACCAUAAACUAUGCCGACUAGGGAUCGGAUGAUGUUAAUUUUUUAAUGACUCAUUCGGCGCCUU